rnacentral:rRNA from 1 species
AGAGAGAAUGAGUGGACUACUCAACUCAUGCGAUGAAGAACACAGCUAGCUGAGAGAAUUAAUGUGAACUGCAGGACCCAUUUAUCAUUCACACUUAAACACACUGUGGCCUCGGCUUCCUCUAGAGGCUAUGCCUGUCUCAGCACUG